UACAGAGGUCCCAAGCGUUGUUCGGAUUCACUGGGCGUAAAGGGUGCGUAGGUGGUUAGGUAAGUCCGAUGUGAAAUCUCCAGGCUCAACCUGGAAAUGGCAUUGGAUACUAUUUAGCUUGAGGAGUGGAGGGGGGAGCUGGAAUUCUCGGUGUAGCAGUGAAAUGCGUAGAUAUCGAGAGGAACACCUGUGGCGAAAGCGGCUCACUGGACCAUAACUGACGCUGAUGCACGAAAGCUAGGGGAGCAAACAGG
rnacentral:rRNA from 1 species